rnacentral:lncRNA from 1 species
AUUUUGAAUGAGGUCACCACCCGGAGUUCCGUGGGAGAGAGAAGCUGCGGGGGAGACGCCCUCCCCCUCCCGGGAGCUAAGGAUGCGACCUGCGCGACGAGCUGAUGUUCGCUGCGGUGAGCUCCUGGUGGUCUUUGGCUGGAGGACACCGACAGAGUUGGAGAUUCACCAAGAUUCAGCAGAAGUCUUCACUACCUUCCACAGGACCCUUGAAUCAGUAAUAGUGUGCACGUCUGAGACCACGUGCCUGCCUGGGAUGCCAUCGUGUCCAUGGCCGGGAGACAUGAGCUCUGAUGUUUUGUUGAAAUCUUUCAGCAUUUAGUUCAGUUUGUUUUAUUAGGAAUAAGGCCUCUUGAGAUUGUUUUGGUUAUCUGAUUCAAUUUGUAUCCUUUCUUGGUAAAAUUGCUUUCUAACUUUCUAACGCUUCUUCUAUAGUCUAUCUGCUUGCCUAGUGUCUUGAGUGUUUGUUUAUAAGAUGAAAAUUAUUUUUUUAAUUGAGACAAUUGACAUAUAACAUCAUAUUAGUUUUAGGUGUACAACAUAAUGAUUUGAUAUAUGUAUAUAUUGCAAAAUGAUCACCACAAUAAGUUUAGUUAGCAUCCAUCACCACACAUAGUUAUGAAAUUUUUUUGCUUGUGAUGAGAACUUUUGAGAUCUACUCCCUUAGCAACUUUUAAAUAUACAAUACUGUAUUCCUAACUGUAGUCUCCAUGCUGUAUAUUACACCCGCAGGACUUAUUUAUCUUACAACUGGAAGUUUGUACUGUUUCACCACCUUCGCCUAUUUUGCCCAUUCCUCCAUCCCCCGUCUCCAACAACCAUCAAUCUGUUUUCUAUAUCUAUGAAUUUGUUUUUUGGUUUUUUAGAUGCCACAUGUAAGUGAAAUCAUACGGUGUUUCUUUCUCCGUUUGACUUAUUUCACAUUUGCAUAAAGCCUUCCAGGUCCAUCCAUAUUGUCACAAAUGGUAGGAUAUCCUCCUUUUUUUAAUGGCUGAAUAAUAUUCCACUCACAUGUUCUUUGUCCAUUCAUCCAUUGGUGGACACUUAGAUUGUUUCCAUGUCUUGGCUAUUGUAAAUGAUGCUGUGUUGGACAUAGAUGCAUAGAUAUCUUUUUGAGAUAGUGAUCUCGUUUCCUUUAGAUAAAUGCCCAGAAGUGGAAUUGCUGCAUCAUGUGGUAGUUCUAUCUUUAAGUUUUUGAGGAACCUCCAUACUGUUUUUCGGUAGUGCCUGUAGCAAUUUACAUUCCCACCCAUAGGGCCCAAGGGUUCCCUUUUCUCCACAUCCUCGCCAACACUUGUUAUUUUUUGAAGAUGAAAAUUCUAUAGGGAGAGACAGGCAGAAGCCCGAUAAGUCCACUCUCCAGCUGGCUCCAGGGUCUAUUGUCUUACUUAGGUCACCGUUUCAAAACCUUGCAAUGGGGCUGGCCCCGUGGCGGAGUGGUUAGGUUCGCGCACUCCACUUCCGGGUUCCAAGUUUUUGCGGGUUUGGAUCCUGGGUGUGGACACAGCACCAUUCAUCAAGCCAUGCUGAGGCAGCGUCCCACAUGCCACAGUUAGAAGGACCCACAGCUAUAAAUACACAACUAUGUACCAGGGGGCUUUGGGGAGAAAAAGGAAAAAUAAAAUCUUUUAAAAAAACCA